GGCGAACGGGUGAGUAACGCGUGAGCAACCUGACUCGUUAGACCGGGGGAUAACACUGGGAAACGAGUGCUAAUACCGCAUAAGGACCACGACAUGGCAUCAUGACGAGGUCAAAGGAGCAAUCCGCUGAGAGAGGGGCUCGCGUCCCAUUAGAUAGAUGGCGGGGUAACGGCCCACCAUGUCAACCGAUGGGUAGCCGAGCUGAGAGGCUGAUCGGCCACACUGGAACUGAGACACGGUCCAGACUCCUACGGGAGGCAGCAGUGGGGAAUAUUGGGCAAUGGGCGCAAGCCUGACCCAGCAACGCCGCGUGAGGGAAGAAGGCUUUCGGGUUGUAAACCUCUGUCCUUGGUGACGAAAACAAAUGACGGUAGCCAAGGAGGAAGCCCCGGCUAACUACGUGCCAGCAGCAGC
rnacentral:rRNA from 1 species